UCAUGUGUUUUUGUGGAACGUUCCACUCGAGUAAGCAAAUAACAUACUUUCGGAGGUUAUAUCAAGAUAAAAUGAAAGGAAACUCUUAUGAGAAUUGCUGUUCCAUACAUAUAGAACAAAGCAUAUUUGCAGGUACAAAGCAAAAGUCACGCAAAUCAACAUGUCUAAACCUGUCGUAAUCAACAGCAGUGGCUGCCGUUAACUGUGACACGACAAUUUUGUAAACAAAGUCAGCAGUGAAAAGCAACGCGAUUCAAUCGAACGAAGUGCAAAUAUGAAGGAAAUAAAAUUGUAUUACGCGUGUGAGUAAAUGAAAAAUAUAAUCAUAUACCUAUCAAAGCAGCAAAAUGAAAAAUUAUUAAUAUAACUAAUAAUAAUAUUAAAUGCGACAAUUACAAGUUUAAUAUAGUAAACUUAAAUUUAGUUUUCAUAAUAAAAGUGAAUAGUGAAAAAUAUAGAUCGCGAGUGUGUGUGGAAAGUGUACUAAAAAUAGAAAUGUGUAUAAGUUUUGUGAAAUGAAAUGUGUGAAAAUAGUGAAAAGUGCAUAGUUCUAAUAUCGUAAAUAAAUAUGUUUUAAUAUAAUGCAAAUAUUCGAAUAAAAGUAAAAUCAGUGUUUUAUGAUGGUGUGAUAUCCAAAAAGUGAUGUGUGUAUAAGUGAAGGUGAAGAAAAAUACGGUAGAAGUUCAAAGCACGAAUUUAAAGCAACAAAUUUGAGAUCUACUAAAAAUUAACAGAUAUUCACUCACGCGCAAAUGCCUAUUCAGUGUUGCGGCAGCUUACUUUCAAAAAUAUGAUAAAGGUGGGAAAAGCGAAAAAAUACAGCAAAAUAAAUGAAUGUGUGAAGAACUGUGCAGGUCGGAAGGUAAUAAUUUGUUCUAAUGUUGCACAUAGUGAUUGAUUGCGUGCAAAACAAUAAUCCUGAGCUCUGAAGCUGCCAAUCUUUAUUGUUUCAUGCAAUGAUUGAUGCUAAAUAGUUAUUAAUAUGUACUUGAAUGUAUGAGC